rnacentral:rRNA from 1 species
GCGCACGGGUGAGUAACACGUAUCCAACCUGCCGAUAACUCCGGGAUAGCCUUUCGAAAGAAAGAUUAAUACCGGAUAGCAUACGAAUAUCGCAUGAUAUUUUUAUUAAAGAAUUUCGGUUAUCGAUGGGGAUGCGUUCCAUUAGUUUGUUGGCGGGGUAACGGCCCACCAAGACAACGAUGGAUAGGGGUUCUGAGAGGAAGGUCCCCCACAUUGGAACUGAGACACGGUCCAAACUCCUACGGGAGGCAGCAGUGAGGAAUAUUGGUCAAUGGGCGAGAGCCUGAACCAGCCAAGUAGCGUGAAGGAUGAAGGCUCUAUGGGUCGUAAACUUCUUUUAUAUGGGAAUAAAGUAUUCCACGUGUGGAAUUUUGUAUGUACCAUAUGAAUAAGGAUCGGCUAACUCCGUGCCAGCAGCCGCGGUAAUACGGAGGAUCCGAGCGUUAUCCGGAUUUAUUGGGUUUAAAGGGAGCGUAGGUGGAUUGUUAAGUCAGUUGUGAAAGUUUGCGGCUCAACCGUAAAAUUGCAGUUGAAACUGGCA